AACGUAGGUGGCGAGCGUUAUCCGGAUUUACUGGGCGUAAAGGGUGUGCAGGCGGGCUGUUAAGUGGUGUAUGAAAUAUCCCGGCUCAACCGGGAGAGGUUAUGCCAGACUGGCAGUCUAGAGAGCGAGAGAGGGACGUGGAAUUCCGGGUGUAGUGGUGAAAUGCGUAGAUAUGACUCGGAAGGCCAACGGCGAAGGCAGGUUACUGGUACGCAACUGACGCUGAGGCACGAAAGCGUGGGGAGCAAACAGG
rnacentral:rRNA from 1 species